rnacentral:lncRNA from 1 species
AAAUACUUCCAUUUUCCUUUCCAGCUUCAUUUUAACAGCAUAAAAAAGUACCCUUAAAAAGAAUCCAUAUCCAUAUAUAUAUAUAUAUAUAUGUAUGUAAGAAAGCAGGAGUAGGUUGAGGCCUUCACUGAGUUUAUAGCCAGCCGUGGCCUGUGGUGCGAAUUGGCCCAAUGGAAUGCUGGGAGCUUAAUAGACUGAGCAGCCUCCAUCUUGGAGAAGCGUGGUUUUUGAUUUGCCAUCUGUUUUUCCUUCUCAGUUAAUUUGGUUAUUAGAGAGGCUGUAGCAGAUGUUAAGCCAUUGAGAAGAGUGAUCUGAGGAAGCGGAGAGGUUUUUGUGGAGGAAUCUUAGUGUCCUUUACCUGUGUGGUGUGGCUCCAGGAAGGCCAUGAGAUCAAACCCAUGCUUUGUAAAGCUCAGACGUCUCUUAACUGCAAAAAUAAGACCCGCUGGUCAUGCAUGAAGCAAGGCUGCUGCUCUUAGAGGAAUUUGGCGUGUGGAUCCAGCAAUAUGCAGGCAGUGCUGGGCUCCUGCCUGGGGCUGGUGGCCAUUUGCACAUGGGACGUCCUGAUUGGUGUUGGGGACCUGCAGCCGACUGAUGCUCUCAAGGUACAGUCUGAAACUUAGCUGGCAGAAAAAGCCAUUUUAUCCUACUACUUUUAAUCCUCUCUGUUGACAAGGAAAUAGUGGUUUGGGUUUGUUCCUUUUCUUAGCUUAUGUGUGUGAAAAAUUAAGGCAUUAUUCCAGCAAUAAGAUUUAGCACUGCCACUGGGCUGUUUCUGGAGAACCUUGUGUUUCUGAUAAUUCUGUUCAGAGUAUGGUUCCUUUGCUGCUCCCAGGAGCUGUUUGUUGCUUUGUGGACUCUUCUGGGCUUGGUCUGGAGUUGUUGGAUUUUUACCAGUGAAAUUAAACUAGAGUAAAAGAAAUGCCACUGUCUACUCAGUCUCCAAAGGUUGUUUUCUUAAACCAGAAUAGACACAACAAUUUGAAAACCUCAGUCAAAGAUUGGUUGUGUUUUGGCUUUUUUUUUU